rnacentral:rRNA from 1 species
AGAACGAACGCUGGCGGCAUGCCUAAUACAUGCAAGUCGAACGAACUCUUCGGAGUUAGUGGCGCACGGGUGCGUAACGCGUGGGAAUCUGCCCUUGGGUUCGGAAUAACAGUUGGAAACGACUGCUAAUACCGGAUGAUGACGUAAGUCCAAAGAUUUAUCGCCCAGGGAUGAGCCCGCGUAGGAUUAGCUAGUUGGUGAGGUAAAGGCUCACCAAGGCGACGAUCCUUAGCUGGUCUGAGAGGAUGAUCAGCCACACUGGGACUGAGACACGGCCCAGACUCCUACGGGAGGCAGCAGUGGGAAUAUUGGACAACGGGCGCAAGCCUGAUCCAGCAAUGCCGCGUGAGUGAUGAAGCCGUUAGGUUGUAAAGCUCGUUUUACCCGGGAUGAUAAUGAACAGUAACCGGAGAAAGUAAGCCGUCCGGACUAAACCGUCCGUACGCCGAGCAAGCCCGAC